rnacentral:rRNA from 1 species
CAGUAGCCACGGUAAUACGUAGGGUGCAAGCGUUAAUCGGAAUUACUGGGCGUAAAGCGCGCGUAGGUGGUUCGCCAAGUUGGAUGUGAAUCCCCGGGCUCAACCUGGGAACUGCAUCCAAAACUGGCGAGCUAGAGUAUGGUAGAGGGUGGUGGAAUUUCCUGUGUAGCGGUGAAAUGCGUAGAUAUAGGAAGGAACAUCAGUGGCGAAGGCGACCACCUGGACUGAUACUGACACUGAGGUGCAAAAGCGUGGGGAGCAAACAGGAUUAGAUACCCCCGUAGUCCCUGUCUCUUAUACA